CCUAGUCAUUUUUUUCGUCAUCAUUGCAUGCGAUCAUCAUUCUCAAAGCCGCUGUAGCACCGCCCUUCGACACAAAUCUUCAAAUAGCUGCUGCAGGAACAUCUUUGGAGACACCACUGGUUCACAGUGGAGGGCCAGCUGAAAGCCCUUCAAUGACAGAGAAUAACACAUACAUCUGUUGGUAGUUACAGUCUUGUCCCAUUGCUGCAACUCCCGUACGGAUACGGGAAGGAGCCAUGCGUCCUCCGAAAACACGACCCUCUGCACUGCUUCUUGACACACUGCUCGCUUAACCCGGAAGCCAGCCACACCAAUGUGUCAGAGGAGAGAAGAGGCGCUUAUCUAUGACCACAGGUGAUGUAACGCUCGUCGUUAGGUGGAAGAGAGGAGGACCAAAGAGCUGCGUGG